rnacentral:rRNA from 1 species
AUUGAACGCUGGCGGCAGGCCUAACACAUGCAAGUCGAACGAGUGGCGGACGGGUGAGUAAUGUCUGGGAAACUGCCUGAUGGAGCGGGAUAACUACUGGAAACGGUAGCUAAUACCGCAUACCAUCGGAUGUGCCCAGAUGGGAUUAGCUAGUAGGUGGGGUAAAGGCUCACCUGGGCGACGAUCCCUAGCUGGUCUGCGAGGAUGACCGGCCACACUGGGACUGAGACACGGGCCAGACUCCUACGGGAGGCAGCAGUGGGGAAUCUUGCACAAUGGGCGCAAGCCUGAUGCAGCAACGCCGCGUGUAUGAAGAAGGCUUUCGGGUUGUAAAGUACUGUCAGCGGGGAGGCGUUACCCGCAGAAGAAGCAACGGCUAACUCCGUGCCAGCAGCCGCGGUAAUUC